rnacentral:lncRNA from 13 species
GCCACGGAGCGGACGCAGCGCAGCGGAAGCGCCCUCGAAUCGCAUUUAAUUAUAUAUUCGCGUCGCGUUUUGGUAACGAGUGCGUGCGUGUGAGAUCAUGUGUAAGUGCUACGGAGAAGCAGCUGCGAAGGAUUUCGAGGGAACGAGCAGCUUGAUCGAUGUCGCGUGUCGCUCGACGCCGGAGAGAAACCUAACCUAUCAUUUGUUUAUUUACUCUCGCGGUACUAAUCGUCCGCGACGCGCUCGCGGACGGCUUGUCUCGUCGAUCGUAUUACAUCACCGCUGUCCGAGCGCGCGAGGAGCAGCAAUGGCUUGGUCGGCGUUGAUCGGUGCCGGAUAGCGUGAGAGAGCCGGAGAGAGGGGGAAACCCAGCCGAUUCUGCGUGGAGUAACUUCGUAGCAGUACACGUACCAUCGACAUGUACCAAUUAAUGAGCGUAUCGCGACAGGGAGCGUUUGGGAUGCGGAAAUUUGGCUCCGGAGUUGCGUCCAAAAAGUUGCAGAGAGCGCCGGACUGCACCGCUGGGGCUCGCCUACAGCUCAUCGCGUCGCCCCGUAGUCAGUGACUACUACUGCGUGGGAUUCAUACCACGGGUAGUAAAUUACACCGUACACAGGAGUCGUGUAUACGUUCCGGCGUGCGCAUUGAGUAACAUUUCCCCGGGAGUGCAUUUACAACGGAUAUUACAUCGAACUGGCAGAAAAACGGGCGCGAGUGUAGCGCGACUCGAGAUUAAAAGCUAUCGCUCGUCAGCGCCGAUGAACUCGUUUUUUCACUGGCCAUUCUCUCGCUUCGUCCCACUCAUUCUUUCUCCCUCUGCCCCUUCGCUUUUGCAUCUCUUGCUCUUUCACCAAAACGUAUAGCUGCGAGAUAUACAGCGUGGGAUAUUGCCUAUGUACUGCGCCAUGCGGCGAUUAUGUACAUGCUGGCUUGCGCCACCUCGAAGGAAUGAUCCGUCUGUCGAUUCCGAUUCCUGUUUGGCCGCUGAUUUAUCGAUCUAUCGAUCGGUGUACGUAUACAGUGCGCUUUAUUAAUUUCUCCGUGACGUCUGAUGCAAUUUACAUGAUAUUUCGUGUACGGAAAUCUUACAUUCACACUCGAGGUGGCGCACAAAUAUCGAUUUUUUUUUUUCUAGUAACAGUAACUUUUCUCAUAAGCUACAGUAUUAUAAUUUAUCAUGAAUGAUGGACGCGUUAGCAAAGAACUUAAAAAAAUUUAUAGUAAAAUACUUGAGAUUAAAACACACAC